UACGUAGGGGGCAAGCGUUGUCCGGAAUCAUUGGGCGUAAAGAGCGUGUAGGCGGCCCGGUAAGUCCGCUGUGAAAGUCCAGGGCUCAACCCUGGGAUGCCGGUGGAUACUGUCGGGCUCGAGUCCGGAAGAGGAGUGGUGGAAUUCCUGGUGGUAGCGGUGAAAUGCGCAGAUAUCAGGAGGAACACCAAUGGCGAAGGCAGCACUCUGGGACGUGACUGACGCUGAGACGCGAAAGC
rnacentral:rRNA from 1 species